GGGUGUGAUCAUACCAACACUAAUGCACCGGAUCCCAUCAAAACUCUAGUCAAACGUGUUUUGGCAAAAAUAGUACUAGGAUGGGUGACCUUUUAAGAAGUCCUUGUGUUGCUCUCC
rfam:Gossypium hirsutum cultivar TM-1 chromosome 13, whole genome shotgun sequence